GAUGAACGCUGGCGGCGUGCCUAACACAUGCAAGUCGAGCGAUUCUCUUCGGAGAAGAGCGGCGGACGGGUGAGUAACGCGUGGGUAACCUGCCCUAUACACACGGAUAACGUACCGAAAGGUACGCUAAUACGAGAUAAUAUAAGAUAUUCGCAUGGAUUUCUUAUCAAAGCUCCGGCGGUAUAGGAUGGACCCGCGUCUGAUUAGCUAGUUGGUAAGGUAAUGGCUUACCAAGGCGACGAUCAGUAGCCGACCUGAGAGGGUGAUCGGCCACAUUGGAACUGAGACACGGUCCAAACUCCUACGGGAGGCAGCAGUGGGGAAUAUUGCACAAUGGGCGAAAGCCUGAUGCAGCAACGCCGCGUGAGCGAUGAAGGCCUUCGGGUCGUAAAGCUCUGUCCUCAAGGAAGAUAAUGACGGUACUUGGGGAGGAAGCCCCGACUAACUACGUGCCAGCCGCCGCGGUAA
rnacentral:rRNA from 1 species